rnacentral:rRNA from 1 species
UAUUCUCAAACUUUAAAUAGGUAGGACGGCGCGGCUGCUUUGUUGAGCCGCGCCAAGGAAUCGAGAGCUCCAAGUGGGCCAUUUUUGGUAAGCAGAACUGGCGAUGCGGGAUGAACCGAAAGCCGGGUUAAAGUGCCAAACUGCGCGCUAACCUAGAUCCCACAAAGGGUGUUGAUUCAUAUAGACAGCAGGACGGUGGUCAUGGAAGUCGAAAUCCGCUAAGGAGUGUGUAACAACUCACCUGCCGAAUGAAUUAGCCCCGAAAAUGGAUGGCGCUUAAGCGCGCGACUUAUACCCGGCCAUCAGGGUGAGUACGAUACCCUGAUGAGUAGGAGGGCGUGAAGGCUGUGUUGCAGCUUGGGGCGUGAGCCCGAGUGAAACAGCC